rnacentral:rRNA from 1 species
UACAGAGGUCUCAAGCGUUGUUCGGAUUCAUUGGGCGUAAAGGGUGCGUAGGCGGCGCGGUAAGUCGGGUGUGAAAUCUUGGAGCUUAACUCCGAAACUGCAUUCGAUACUGCCGUGCUUGAGGACUGGAGAGGAGACUGGAAUUUACGGUGUAGCGGUGAAAUGCGUAGAUAUCGUAAGGAAGACCAGUGGCGAAGGCGGGUCUCUGGACAGUUCCUGACGCUGAGGCACGAAGGCCAGGAGAGCAAACGGG